GACGAACGCUGGCGGCGUGCUUAACACAUGCAAGUCGAACGGGAGUAUUGAAGAAGCUUGCUUUAGAGAUACUUUAGUGGCGGACGGGUGAGUAACGCGUGAGGAGCUGUCCUAUGCAGGGGGACAACAGCUGGAAACGGCUGCUAAUACCCCAUAAGCCGAGAGGUAAAAGGAUCAAUCCGGCAGAGGAGGUACUCGCGUCCUAUCAGCUAGUAGGUGAGGUAAACGGCUCACCUAGGCGAAGACGGGUAGCCGGCCUGAGAGGGCGAACGGCCACACUGGAACUGAGAGACGGUCCAAAACUCCUACGGGAGGCAGCAGUGGGGAAUAUUGGGCAAUGGGGGAAACCCUGACCCAGCAACGCCGCGUGAGGGAAGAAGGUUUUCGGAUUGUAAACCUCUGUUCUUGGAGAAGAGAAGAAAGACGGUAUCCAAGGAGGAAGCCCCGGCUAACUACGUG
rnacentral:rRNA from 1 species